CAUGGCUGUCNUCAGCUNGNGGUGNGAAANGUUGGNNUAAGUNNCGCNACGAGCGCAANCCUUAUCCUUGUUUGCCAGCGAGUAAUGUCGGGAACUCCAGGGAGACUGCCGGUGAUAAACCGGAGGAAGGUGGGGACGACGUCAAGUCAUCAUGGCCCUUACGAGUAGGGCUACACACGUGCUACAAUGGCGCAUACAGAGGGCAGCAAGCUAGCGAUAGUGAGCGAAUCCCAAAAAGUGCGUCGUAGUCCGGAUUGGAGUCUGCAACUCGACUCCAUGAAGUCGGAAUCGCUAGUAAUCGUGGAUCAGAAUGCCACGGUGAAUACGUUCCCGGGCCUUGUACACACCGCCCGUCACACCAUGGGAGUGGGCUGCAAAAGAAGUAGGUAGUUAACNUCGNGAGGACGC
rnacentral:rRNA from 1 species